GACGAACGCUGGCGGCGUGCUUAACACAUGCAAGUCGAACGGAAAGGCCCUGCUUUUGUGGGGUGCUCGAGUGGCGAACGGGUGAGUAACACGUGAGUAACCUGCCCUUGACUUUGGGAUAACUUCAGGAAACUGGGGCUAAUACCGGAUAGGAGCUCCUGCUGCAUGGUGGGGGUUGGAAAGUUUCGGCGGUUGGGGAUGGACUCGCGGCUUAUCAGCUUGUUGGUGGGGUAGUGGCUUACCAAGGCUUUGACGGGUAGCCGGCCUGAGAGGGUGACCGGCCACAUUGGGACUGAGAUACGGCCCAGACUCCUACGGGAGGCAGCAGUGGGGAAUAUUGCACAAUGGGCGGAAGCCUGAUGCAGCAACACCGCGUGCGGGAUGACGGCCUUCGGGUUGUAAACCGCUUUCGCCUGUGACGAAGCGUGAGUGACGGUAAUGGGUAAAGAAGCACCGGCUAACUACGUGCCAGCAGCCGCGGUGAUACGUAGGGUGCGAGCGUUGUCCGGAUUUAUUGGGCGCAAAGGGCUCGUAGGUGGUUGAUCGCGUCGGAAGUGUAAUCUUGGGGCUUAACCCUGAGCGUGCUUUCGAUACGGGUUGACUUGAGGAAGGUAGGGGAGAAUGGAAUUCCUGGUGGAGCGGUGGAAUGCGCAGAUAUCAGGAGGAACACCAGUGGCGAAGGCGGUUCUCUGGGCCCUUCCUGACGCUGAGGAGCGAAAGCGUGGGGAGCGAACAGGCUUAGAUACCCUGGUAGUCUACGCUGUAAACGGUGGGUACUAGGUGUGGGGUCCAUUCCACGGGUUCCGUGCCGUAGCUAACGCUUUAAGUACCCCGCCUGGGGAGUACGGCCGCAAGGCUAAAACUCAAAGGAAUUGACGGGGCCCCGCACAAGCGGCGGAGCAUGCGGAUUAAUUCGAUGCAACGCGUAGAACCUUACCUGGGUUUGACAUGGAUCGGGAGCGCUCAGAGAUGGGUGUGCCUCUUUUGGGGUCGGUUCACAGGUGGUGCAUGGCUGUCGUCAGCUCGUGUCGUGAGAUGUUGGGUUAAGUCCCGCAACGAGCGCAACCCUUGUUCACUGUUGCCAGCACGUUAUGGUGGGGACUCAGUGGAGACCGCCGGGGUCAACUCGGAGGAAGGUGGGGAUGACGUCAAGUCAUCAUGCCCCUUAUGUCCAGGGCUUCACGCAUGCUACAAUGGCUGGUACAGAGAGUGGCGAGCCUGUGAGGGUGAGCGAAUCUCGGAAAGCCGGUCUCAGUUCGGAUUGGGGUCUGCAACUCGACCUCAUGAAGUCGGAGUCGCUAGUAAUCGCAGAUCAGCAACGCUGCGGUGAAUACGUUCCCGGG
rnacentral:rRNA from 1 species